GAUGAACGCUGGCGGCGUGCCUAAUACAUGCAAGUCGAACGAGGUGCUUUUGUAGCAAUACGAGGGUAUCCUAGUGGCGAACGGGUGAGUAACGCGUUGGUGACCUGCCCCGAAGUGUGGGAUAACAGUCCGAAAGGAUUGCUAAUACCGCAUGUGGCCAUCGGGGUUAGAAACCGAUGUCUAACGCAGCAAUGCGCUUUGGGAGGGACCUGCGUCCCAUCAGCUAGUUGGUGAGGUAACGGCUCACCAAGGCGACGACGGGUAGGGGGCCUGAGAGGGUGGCCCCCCACAAUGGAACUGAAACACGGUCCAUACACCUACGGGUGGCAGCAGUAGGGAAUAUUGCACAAUGGGCGAAAGCCUGAUGCAGCAACGCCGCGUGAGCGAAGAAGGCCUUCGGGUCGUAAAGCUCUUUUCUGGGAGAUGAGAAAGGACAGUAUCCCAGGAAUAAGUCUCGGCUAACUACGUGCCAGCCGCCGCGGUAACAC
rnacentral:rRNA from 1 species